rnacentral:lncRNA from 1 species
AAAUUACAAGAACCCUAAUUUUACGUAAGAAAUCAAGAAAACCCCAAUUUCCUAACCGCCGAAACCAUAAAGAGUCCUUCCUUGUCUCUUGAGAGCAUAAACAACAUCCAUGGCAGUAACAGUCUUACGGCGAGCAUGCUCAGUAUAGGUAACAGCAUCACGAAUCACAUUCUCAAGAAAGAUCUUGAGAACACCGCGAGUUUCUUCAUAAAUUAAACCGCUGAUACGCUUCACACCACCACGUCUAGCAAGACGACGAAUUGCAGGCUUUGUUAUUCCUUGAAUGUUAUCUCUAAGAACCUUACGAUGUCGUUUUGCUCCUCCCUUUCCAAGACCUUUUCCUCCUUUACCUCUUCCUGACAUAGCUCUGAGUUUCUCUCUUUCGAUUGAACUGAAAUUGCACGAAAAUGUUUUCUGUUUGAGAUGAGAGAAUUGGGAAAAAAUUAUAUAGGGUACGAGUAAGUAAUUAUGACCGUUAGAUUAGUAGCGAUCCGUGCGAGUGAAGAAGUUGAAAGAUGGAGCGUUGGAUUUAAAAUGCUUGAUUUUGAUUGGUGGAGAGAGUGUAGCGCGGAUUGAUGGGUUUAAAUUUUGGAGUUUGAGAGUAGUAAAUGGUUUUUGGUGGGAACUGUGUCUACGAGAAAACACAAAUUUUUGAACACGUGAGAGGGAAAUUUUGUUUUGUGAAAUUUAACAGGCCCGCUUAAAUAAAAUUUUCCCACUAGCCACGUUUUAUGAAUAGAUCUUUUCAAAAAAAAAAAAAUCUCAAAUUUCCACAUUUCAACUAUCAUAACAAUAGUCCUAUUUAUAGGACACGAAGAGGGGAAGUGAAAGAACAAAGUAAUUAAGGUCCACUCAUAAGUGAGAGUUAUAGGAAGGAGAAUAGCUAGGAUGGAAAUCCACUAAUCAGACCUCCACCAGGAGUUAUUAUUCAUAACAUUAUAUUUAUAAUUCAACGGUCUAUUCUCUACAUUAUUUUCUCAAUUUAUUUUUUUCACUUGAGAUAAUCCUUUCCAACAAAGAUGUACCCUACUAACAUAGUGUGACACAAAUGGUUAACUAUUUGGUCACAUGUUCAAUCCCUGACUGAUAUGUAUGGAAAAACAUUUAUUGGAAGAAGUCAACCUCUUAAAUAGAUCUCAGUUACCUCGAAUUAAUUAAUCUCUGCAGUUGCGCACAGUCACGUCAAAUAUCGCCAAUUUAUAACAAUCUCGACCUUUAGCACUCUGCAUAUAAACUAACUAUGUCAAAUAGUUAGUCGUUAGGUGAGGUAAGGUUCUAAAUUGCAAGCAGAAAGUGUACUAGCAUUGCAAGCAGAAAGAAGGAAAAUAGAUGAUGGUAGAUUGAAAGUAAACCUUGACUUAAACUAAUUAUGGAAUGAGAUCACCUUGGACCGACCAAUUGUUGAGAAUUUUUUUGAAUGGCCAUGAUCACCGUUGAGAUAAUUGAUUCAACCAGGAUUAAUUAGUUUCACCCAUUUGCAAGUCAAAGCAUAGCUUAUGAUGUUAUUCAUGCAAUAAUUUGUGUGUUAUGUCACUUCAUCUAUCUCAAGUGGUGGUGGUGGGGAUUUGCUUAUAUGUAAAAAUAAACAAGUUAUUACCUGAGAACUGCAAGUAGUCGCAAGUAGUCGAAUGAAGAUUAGUCCAACAAAAAUUUGUUAAAUACGAGAUAGUCAAGUGUCUUUGACGUCCAUAGAUGUUCACAACGGUCGUGAGAGUGCUAAAACAUGUUAAAGCUAACUGAAAUUUUGACAAUUUGACAUUUUACUCGUGUUCCAUAUUCAUAGUAUCAAUAACUAAGGCACAUCUUUUCACAAAGACAAACUUCUAAGCAAGAGGUGCAUGCAUAGAUAUAGAAAAACAAACAAUGUCGCGAAUGAUGAAAAUACUAGCCAAACGUAAGACCCCACGUACUCUCAAUAUCUACAAAAAUCCUACACUACCCACGUAAAUAGUCGAGUAAAGUUAAAUUUUGUAUGUCACAUCAUUUUGGCAAAUAGGACUAGUGUUUAACGCCAUAAAUGACUAUCGAAAAAUGGCUGGAGAACCAUGAUGAACAGUUAAUGCUCAUCAUUCUGAUGGUCUGCCGUUACAAUAUGGUUGGAUAUUGUGACUAUUAUGCAAUUGGACCUUACUCCACCGUACAAGAGAAAAGUUUCCCCAAUAUUUGGGCAUUAGGCCCAUUCCAGAACAUUUCUAGUGCUAAAAAUUACACUUCAGAAGUGAGAACCAGUAUUUAAAGAUACAUACAUUAGCUUAUUAGUUUAUUUUCAAUUGGGAGAAUUCGCCAAUCAGGUCUUUUUCAAACUAAAAAAAAAGGAAAAAAGAGAGAAGUAGGUUUAUAGAUUUAAACUCUAUUUGGUAAAAGUAUGUUACAAGCCAACCAAUAGCUGAUAACCUAUUUGAGAAGUGCUUAAAAGCUGGUAGAAUAGAAUUAAAGUGUUUGACAAAUUUAACUAUUGUAAAAACAAAAUGACAUAAAAAUAUAUAGUUAGUGGUAGUUAUUAUAAUUUAAAAAAUAAUAAUAAUAAUAAUAAUAAGGAUAAAUUUGGAAUAAAAUAUAAAAAACUAGAAAUUCAUACGCUAUUUGAAAUAACAUUUUAGAAAACGUUAUAAUAUACUUAGAUAAGUUUGUUACAAAACAUAUUAUUUUUAUCAAACAAGCUUAUAAGUUAGUCCAAUAAGCUAGUUAUUUGUACUUAUCGAACACACCCCUUACACUAUGUUUGGAUGCCAAAGAGAUAGGGAAGAGAGAAAUAGUGAAGAGAGAAAUAAGAGAGAAGAGAGAUAGAAGAGAAAUUGGAUAGAAAUUUUAUAUGGUUUGGAUGAAUAGAAAAGUGAGAAGAGAGAAAUUAAUAAAAAUGAGAAAAUAACAAAUUUACCCUUUUUUACAAGAAAAUAAAUUAGUUGAAUGGGGGUAUUAUUGUAAAAUUGUUUAUUUCACUUCUUGUCACACAACUCUCUUCUAAUAUGGAGAGAUUUAUUUUUGGCAGUUAUUAAUCAUUAUAUUUCUCUCUUCCUUUAUUUCUCUCCUCAUCCAAACCAUAGAAAUAGCUAAUUUCUUUUCUAUCUCUCUCUUUCUUAUUUCUCUCUUUAGUAAAUCUACCUAAACAAACACAGUGAGAGAAUAUAGUAUUUUAACCGUUAGAUUUAGAAGAAAGUAUGCAGAUCAAACUACUGAAUUAAAAAGGCAUGUUUAACUGUUCACACACACGCAUCUCUCUCGCUAAGAACGUCGGUGUAUACUCCAUUUCGUCCCUUCUCUCUCACAGGCACAUGUUCUUUUUUACUUUUAUUUUUAUCACAGAACUUUCCUUUUUGAUUUCUGAAUCGGAUUCAUUCAAGUAGUAAUAAACAAGGUUUUUGAAACAGUUCAGAUCGAAAGCAUCGAGCAGUAGUAGAGUCACAAGUGUACGUUCCAUUUCCACUUUCCAGUGUCAUCGGAUCAUAGCGCAAAUGGGCAAUCCCUCCGGUGUCAGAAAACCAAUCACACACGUCGUAUUCGACAUGGACGGUCUCUUGCUCGGUAGGUAUUAAGUAAUGUGCAAUCAAUUUUUAAUGAAAUCACAUAGUUUGUGUUUUUACAUUACAUUGAUCAUGAAGAUAAGGUGUUUGUUAAUUUGCCAACUUGAUUAUGAUGUUAUUGCAGACACAGAGAAGUUCUAUACUGAAGUUCAAGAAAUUAUACUUGCUAGAUAUAAUAAAACUUUUGAUUGGUCUCUCAAGGCAAAGAUGAUGGGAAUGAAAGCAAUUGAGGCUGCUAAGGUAUUUGUUGAAGCGACUGGAAUCAGUGAUUCUUUAACUCCUGAGCAAUUUCUUGUAGAAAGAGAAGCAAUGUUGCAGAGUUUGUUUCCAACAAGUGAGCUCAUGCCAGGUAUAUGGAAUUAUGGAUUGAUUAAUGGAGAUUGAAUCAACAUAAAAGGUUGAGGAAUUUUGUUUGCUUUUAAAUGUGGAAACUAGAACUGAUAUUUGAGAAUGGAGGAUAUUUGAUUGGGUACUACUAGAAAUUGAACUAGAAAGUACUAACCAUUGUUGUUAGAAUCUUGAGCACAACUGUGAAAUCCUAGGAUUUUGCGAUUUUGCUCUGCCUUACCGAUCUGAAUCCUGAGUAGAAUUCUAAAUUAUGCAACAUCCCACUAAAAUAAUGCAAUUCCAGUAAUCUUGCUAUCCUUUUUCGAUCUGAACAAACUCGCGAUUCUGACAACCUUGGUACUAACACAGACAUACCGAAUGCAUGCCUGUGUGUAAAUCUGAUUUCAAUGUCUUUUAGGACCCUGCAGAAUGCGAGUCAUCGGUGCUUUAUUAUCUAUUCCCGAUUCAUAAUAACGACUUGUUCAAAUCUGCCGAUUCUGCUAAUAGCUGUACAAUCUCAUCUUUUUCUCCACUUCUAAUCUGUAACACUCUUACACAGUUUAUAUUCUUCUCCUAACCUAUAAGGAUUUUCUACUUUUCUGAAAGACUGAAACUUCAUCCUAGUACCCAUUUUAUUGGAUUUUUUUGGAGUAAUUUUGUAAAGACACCCAUUUAGUUCUUUCUCGUUUUACUUCCUUAUUAGUUUCGUUAAGAUAGAUGUCCACUAUUACGAAACGAAUUGCAAGAAUACGCAACAAUACAUUAGGCACCUUGUAAUUGAUAUUCACCUUGUAGAGUUGAACACUUUGACUUGUGAUAAUUCUUUGCUCAACUUUUCCAGUCUUUUUUUUAACUUCAUUUUUUUCUUUUGCUAAAAUUUAAGCAAGUCUGAAACAAUACAUUAGGCAUCUCAAAUUCUUCUUUUGUCACACAUGGUGAAAACCGGAAAGAUUCAUCUCAAUACGGACCUACUUGGAUUGUGAAAAUAUUAUGUUGUCACAUGUUCAGCAUCAUAAUAUUUGUGGAACCUCAGAACUUGUAACCUUAGAGCUUUGAAUUCAUAAAACCUUAUUGAGCAUGUUUCAACUAUGACUUUGUUGUUACCUACUUCUCUGUAUAUUACUGGCAUAUUUGGAUACAUGUGUUUGAUAUGAAAUUAUAGUUUUCUUACUCUUAAUGGCUUCAAAAAGACAUUUUCUGAAAUGCACAUGUUGAUUUUCUCAGUAUGCUUUGGAGCAAUUGCUUUUUAAGAUAUGGGUGCAGACUGUAGAGUUCCUUUCUGCACGAAAUUUUUGCAACAUAUUUCUGCACCUCAAAAUGUUUUGCAUCGAAAGAAAUUUUCCACAUGCAAUGAUGUGCUAUUUUCAACGGGGUUUGUACAUAUUUUCUCAUAUAAAAAUCUUUCAACUAUGCAAGAUUAAAUCUUCUUGCUAUGUAGGUUUGUUUUGGUAUCUUUUUUUCACUAUACAUGUUGCUCAUAUUAUAUAUAUAUAUAUAUAUAUAUAUAUAUAUAUAUAUNNNNNNNNNNNNNNNNNNNNNNNNNNNNNNNNNNNNNNNNNNNNNNNNNNNNNNNNNNNNNNNNNNNNNNNNNNNNNNNNNNNCACUACUAAAGUGUGUAUUACACAGGCGACCACUUUUUUAUAUGCUGAUUUUCUUCUGUCUGCUUUUCAUUUAUCAUAGGUGUUAGCCGUUUACUCAAGCAUCUACAUGCAAAAGGAGUUCCAAUUGCCGUGGCAACUGGGUAAGUUUCAUCCAUCUCGUGUUAAUUUUUUUUCUGUCUUUUACUUGUAUCUUGAAGGACUUUCAUAGAAAGUUGUUUUGUCAAUUUUCCCUACAGUUCUCACAAGCGACAUUUUGAACUAAAAACGCAAAGACACGGUGAAAUGUUUUCUCUGAUGCAUCAUGUUGUUCUUGGUGAUGACCCUGAAGUUAAACAAGGCAAACCAUCACCAGAUGUAUUUCUUGCUGCAGCCAAGAGAUUUGAGGUAUACCAAUUAAUGAAUUUUGUAAACUUGAUAGAAAUUUGUCUGCAAGGAUUAAUUAUGCCUUUUCUUUACCUAAUUUGAAUUUGAGGUUGGGUUCAUUUUAUUAAUGAUUGUAUUUCCUUGUAUUUCCAACUUUGUUGAGUUUGUGAUCAUACAUAGUGAUGUUUUAGUUAACGAUACAUUGAUAUGAUCGACAGGGUGGACCAGUAGAUCCAAGUAACAUACUUGUUUUUGAAGAUGCACCCUCUGGAGUUCUUGCAGCUAAGAAUGCUGGGAUGUAAGUGGUUUGAAGCACUCAAUGAUAUUUUCUGUUUUGUUUUUAAGCUAAAUAUAUAUGACAAAGCAAGGAUAAAAAAGAUAAAAGUGAUAACAGACAGAUAGAAUGAGUUUAACUAAUCACUGAAUUCAUGAUUGCACGUCGUCUGUUUAUAUGCUAGCUGCAGUGCGUGUAACUACUGGUAACCGCCACUAAGGCACUAAUAGAAUCAGAAAACUAUAUAACCGUCACCUACUAGCUGCUCAAUAUAUGUUCAUAGCAUGCUGUGGUAUAGAAAGCAUGCCAACAUUCAGUAGAAUGAGCACGUAAUGUAGUGGUACAUCUAUCAGUUUCAGAUCCUGUAUUACUGUGUUUGGUAUAUAUAGUAUAAUAGUAUAAAAGCAUCUGCACCAGCAAUAUAUUGGUGACUGGUGAUUUGGAAUUGCUGAAAUUUUCACUUCCUGUACUCGGAACAAAUUCUUCCUAUACUCACUGAUUUCAUCUAUAAAACAUUUAUAUGUUCACUGGGCUCUUUCCAUCUUUCAUAUAUACUAGGAGUAUAAACAAAUGUUAAUAUAGGACUUAAGUUUUAUCUAUUGAUAUAAGCAUAUGUGAGACGUUUGGAAGCUAAUGUUAACAACUUAUGACAUUUUCAUAAGCUACUUAUUUCUAUAAGCUCUCCAGGAUCGCUUAUGAAAACAAUUUAUAGCUUAUAUAAAAACAAUUUGACUUUAUUUUAUAUUUUGUUAUCGUAAUAGCUUAGGCAUAAGCAUUUACUAUGUGAUAAGUGCUUAUCUAUAAGGGGCUUAAUUAACUUAUUUCUCCAAACAGGCUCAUAAUAAUGUUUGUUACCUGCUUCUAUGAGGCGUAAAGAACUCUGAAAUAUGAAUGUCGGAAGCUGGACUGUGAAUUUGAUUCCACUGUCUUUAUGUUAUUGCAAUGAUUAUGUUUGAAUUUGUCAACCGAUUUCAUGUGACAGUUGAUAUUAUUAACCAGCCAAAUGCAGUUAGUGAAAUGCAGUUUGUGAAUUCUUUCUUAACCUUCACAUUUUUUUUAUUUUUUUUAAAAUUUUUUUUAAGCAAUAUCUUUUUCCUCUCAAUAAACACUAAACUGAAUUAUAUAUUUGUAUACUAUGAUUUAUCUGAUCUUGAUGUCAAGCUAGGAUGGCAUCCAGUGUGGUUCCUCAGAACAUUCGGUUAUGAUGAUGUUUACGUGUUACCACUCAUUUCUUGCCCUGAUCAAUUUCAUUUCAUUGCAUUUUGAUUAAACACUCGUGCAAUUAUGAUUAGUAUAAGUUUGUUGAAUUUUUUUUGUUACAUGUCUUGUAGGUCUGUUGUUAUGGUUCCUGAUCCAAGGUUGGACAAAUCUUUUCAUGAUGCAGCAGACCAAGUUUUGAACUCAUUGUUGGAUUUUAACCCUAGUGAGUGGGUUUUACCUCCAUUUGAAGACAAUGGAAGUUGAACGUGAGUUUCCAAGACUGUCCUUCAAUUAUUGGUAGCAGAAAAAGCUGCCCAUCUUUUGUCCAACAAAAUGAACAAUUUAUCCAUUUUCAUGCAGUAUUGUGCUAGCUACAUUAUUAGAUCUUUACAUUCUUGUGUUUUGUAAUAUGAUUACCACAAUCAAUAUUGGGUUGUGAAAAUAUUUUACAUUCAAUAUCGGUUUGUAGGUAAGCUGAUUACAUUGAAACUAAAAAUGACACUGAUUUUAUAAUGAGCUUUUGUUUUUGGACAGUUCAUGAAGGUUUUUUUUAGUACUCGUAAUGGGAUCAUUGGGCUGAAUGAAUUACACUGUUGGUUUUUAAGUUUCAUUUUUUUAAAAGUUGUUUGUUCCUUUUUACUUGUCAUGUUCAAAGCAGUAUAACUAUUAAUGAUUAGAGAGACAUAAUCAAAGAAAACAUGUGUUGGAAAAACGCGCCCUCUUAUGUUAUUAUGUUACGGAUACAGUAUUUUGUACACAAAAAUCAAAGAUCAAACUUCUGACCAUUUAUUUAAAGGAUCUGAGCUAAUACAUUGCUGAUGGAUAUAUCAUAUAUGCGUUCUUAUAUUCAUACGAAGAAAAACACAGAUUUUUACAUGUCCUUUCAAUUGGAUUAAUUAAGCAGCAUUUCUUACUAGCAUUAGUGCAUUGCACAUAUUCACAUAUAAUAAAACGCAUUUUCUAUCCGAUUUAUUUUGAUUUAACUUCAUUCAUUUAUAAAAAGGAUUCCUAGUUAGAUUUUAAUUAAUUCGAACCAACUCUACCCAAAUCAGAACUCCCGGUAGCAAUACGAACAAUCUAACGCAAAGUCACAACCAUUUUAGAGAUUUUGAAAUUACAUUUAAAACAUUUAAUCAGAAUUUAAAUUAAAUUUCAAAUUCAAGAACGAUUGUUGCAAAGUUUCAAAGAUUUCACAACUACCUCAAAAUUAAGCCUGUGCAUUAGUAAGAAACCCAGAUUUUACUCUCUUAUUUUGACACAACCAGUAUCGCUAGUAUUCAAAUAUUGCUAAAGAAUUCCAAUUAUCGCAACAAAUCAAUGAAUAUAACUAAAAUUCAUGUAAUUAAUUACUAUAUUGAAAUUCCAAAUCAACAACUAACAACUCAGAGCAAGCAAAAACAAUCGCUAAUGCUAAAAGCUCAAGUGCAAUUACAACAUUGAAAUUUCAAACUACAAAGAAACCCUAAUUUUACAUAAGAAAUCAAGAAACCCCCAAUUUUCUAACCACCGAAACCGUAAAGAGUCCUUCCCUGUCUCUUGAGAGCAUAAACAACAUCCAUGGCAGUAACAGUCUUACGGCGAGCAUGUUCAGUAUAGGUAACAGCAUCACGAAUCACAUUCUCAAGAAAGAUCUUGAGAACACCACGAGUUUCUUCAUAAAUUAAACCGCUGAUACGCUUCACNNN